rnacentral:rRNA from 1 species
UUGAACGCUGGCGGCAGGCCUAACACAUGCAAGUCGAGCGGUAACACAGAGAGCUUGCUCUCGGGUGACGAGCGGCGGACGGGUGAGUAAUGUCUGGGAAACUGCCUGAUGGAGGGGGAUAACUACUGGAAACGGUAGCUAAUACCGCAUAACGUCGCAAGACCAAAGUGGGGGACCUUCGGGCCUCAUGCCAUCAGAUGUGCCCAGAUGGGAUUAGCUAGUAGGUGGGGUAACGGCUCACCUAGGCGACGAUCCCUAGCUGGUCUGAGAGGAUGACCAGCCACACUGGAACUGAGACACGGUCCAGACUCCUACGGGAGGCAGCAGUGGGGAAUAUUGCACAAUGGGCGCAAGCCUGAUGCAGCCAUGCCGCGUGUGUGAAGAAGGCCUUCGGGUUGUAAAGCACUUUCAGCGGGGAGGAAGGCGGUGAGGUUAAUAACCUCAUCGAUUGACGUUACCCGCAGAAGAAGCACCGGCUAACUCCGUGCCAGCAGCCGCGGUAAUACGGAGGGUGCAAGCGUUAAUCGGAAUUACUGGGCGUAAAGCGCACGCAGGCGGUCUGUCAAGUCGGAUGUGAAAUCCCCGGGCUCAACCUGGGAACUGCAUUCGAAACUGGCAGGCUAGAGUCUUGUAGAGGGGGGUAGAAUUCCAGGUGUAGCGGUGAAAUGCGUAGAGAUCUGGAGGAAUACCGGUGGCGAAGGCGGCCCCCUGGACAAAGACUGACGCUCAGGUGCGAGAGCGUGGGGAGAAAACAGGAUUAGAUACCCUGGUAGUCCACGCCGUAAACGAUGUCGAUUUGGAGGUUGUGCCCUUGAGGCGUGGCUUCCGGAGCUAACGCGUUAAAUCGACCGCCUGGGGAGUACGGCCGCAAGGUUAAAACUCAAAUGAAUUGACGGGGGCCCGCACAAGCGGUGGAGCAUGUGGUUUAAUUCGAUGCAACGCGAAGAACCUUACCUGGUCUUGACAUCCACAGAACUUUCCAGAGAUGGAUUGGUGCCUUCGGGAACUGUGAGACAGGUGCUGCAUGGCUGUCGUCAGCUCGUGUUGUGAAAUGUUGGGUUAAGUCCCGCAACGAGCGCAACCCUUAUCCUUUGUUGCCAGCGGUUCGGCCGGGAACUCAAAGGAGACUGCCAGUGAUAAACUGGAGGAAGGUGGGGAUGACGUCAAGUCAUCAUGGCCCUUACGACCAGGGCUACACACGUGCUACAAUGGCAUAUACAAAGAGAAGCGACCUCGCGAGAGCAAGCGGACCUCAUAAAGUAUGUCGUAGUCCGGAUUGGAGUCUGCAACUCGACUCCAUGAAGUCGGAAUCGCUAGUAAUCGUAGAUCAGAAUGCUACGGUGAAUACGUUCCCGGGCCUUGUACACACCGCCCGUCACACCAUGGGAGUGGGUUGCAAAAGAAGUAGGUAGCUUAACCUUCGGGAGGGCGCUUACCACUUUGUGAUUCAUGACUGGGGUG